GAUGAACGCUGGCGGCGUGCCUAAUACAUGCAAGUCGAGCGAACGGACGAGAAGCUUGCUUCUCUGAUGUUAGCGGCGGACGGGUGAGUAACACGUGGAUAACCUACCUAUAAGACUGGGAUAACUUCGGGAAACCGGAGCUAAUACCGGAUGAUAUUUUGAACCGCAUGGUUCAAAAGUGAAAGACGGUCUUGCUGUCACUUAUAGAUGGAUCCGCGCUGCAUUAGCUAGUUGGUAAGGUAACGGCUUACCAAGGCAACGAUGCGUAGCCGACCUGAGAGGGUGAUCGGCCACACUGGAACUGAGACACGGUCCAGACUCCUACGGGAGGCAGCAGUAGGAAAUCUUCCGCAAUGGGCGAAAGCCUGACGGAGCAACGCCGCGUGAGUGAUGAAGGUCUUCGGAUCGUAAAACUCUGUUAUUAGGGAAGAACAUAUGUGUAAGUAACUGUGCACAUCUUGACGGUACCUAAUCAGAAAGCCACGGCUAACUACGUG
rnacentral:rRNA from 1 species